GAACAAACGCUGGCGGCGUGCCUAACACAUGCAAGUCGAACGCGAAAGGGACUUCGGUCCUGAGUAAAGUGGCGCACGGGUGAGUAACGCGUGGGUAAUCUGCCCCUCAGUUGGGAAUAACCCAUCGAAAGGUGGGCUAAUACCGAAUAAUGCUGUAUCGCCUCGGUGAUCCAGCCAAAGACGGCCUCUGCUUGCAAGCUGUCGCUGAGAGAUGAGCCCGCGUACCAUUAGCUUGUUGGUGGGGUAAUGGCCUACCAAGGCGACGAUGGUUAGCUGAUCUGAGAGGAUGAUCAGCCACACUGGAACUGAGACACGGCCCACACACCUACGGGUGGCAGCAGUUGGGAAUCUUGCACAAUGGGGGAAACCCUGAUGCAGCGACGCCGCGUGGAGGAUGAAUGGUCUAGGCCUGUAAACUCCUUUUACCAGGAAAGACUUAGGACGGUACCUGGUGAAUAAGCCCCGGCUAACUACGUGCCAGCAGCCGCGGUAAGACGUAGGGGGCAAGCGUUGUCCGGAUUUACUGGGCGUAAAGGGCGCGUAGGCGGCCUGUUAAGUGUGAAGUGAAAUCUCCAGAGCUCAACUCGGAAACGGCUUCGCAUACUGGCAGGCUUGAGGAAUGCAGAGGUGAAUAGAAUUCCUGGUGUAGCGGUGAAAUGCGUAGAUAUCAGGAGGAAUACCCAUGGCNNNGGCAGUUCACUGGGCAUUAUCUGACGCUGAGGCGCGAAAAGCGUGGGGAGCAAACAGGAUUAGAUACCGUGGUAGUCCACGCCCUAAACGAUGGAUGCUAGACGUAAGAGGUAUCGACCCCUCUUGUGUCGCANCNAACGCAUUAAGCAUCCNNNNNGGGGAGUACGGCCGCAAGGUUGAAACUCAAAUGAAUUGACGGGGACCCGCACAAGCGGUGGAGCAUGUGGAUUAAUUCGAUACUAACCGAAGAACCUUACCCAGGUUUGACAUCGAUCGCAACAUCCAGAGAUGGGUGCCUCUUCCCAAAAGGAAGACGUGAAGACACUUGUUGCAUGGCUGUCGUCAGCUCGUGCCGUGAGGUGUACGGUUAAGUCCGCCAACGAGCGCAACCCUCGUCCUAUGUUGCCAGCGAGUAAAGUCGGGAACUCAUAGGAGACCGCCGGUGUAAGCCGGAGGAAGGUGAGGAUGACGUCAAGUCAGCAUGGCAGUUACGCCUGGGGCUUCACACAUGCUACAAUGGACGCAACAAAGGGCAGCAAUACCGCGAGGUGGAGCAAAUCCCAAAAAUACGUCCUCAGUUCAGAUUGCAGUCUGCAACUCGACUGCAUGAAGGCGGAAUCGCUAGUAAACGCAGGUCAGCUAUACUGCGUUGAAUACGUUCCCGGGUCU
rnacentral:rRNA from 1 species